CAACAAAUAGUUUAUAAAAAAAAAUUUAAUUUUUGGGUAAUUAUGAAAGAAUAAAUUUCUUUUGUUGA
rnacentral:tRNA from 1 species